GAUAACUUCUGUUCCACAGAAGAGGACGUGUUUCCGAUAAUCCUCCAAACUGUGACAUUUCCAAGGCAUGGUGUUCUCCAUCUGGGGCAACGGUGUCUUUGUAACAGCUAAACCAAAGUCCUUGUACUGGGAGUUGGAAGAUAAUCCAAAGGGACUCAGACGUUGUGUGUCCCUGAGAGAAGAGGCGUGCACCACAGUAGAACAUGGGAACAUGCAAUAAGGUUAUGGAAACAGCGUAAACGGCACCAGGAUCUGCCUCCCUGUCCAGGUAAAUAGGCCUCAGACAGCUCAGAGUGGAGUGGGAGCAGCAGGAAGAAGAGCUGCCCUCAAUCGGACCCCUCUCCCUGAUGUCUUGCACAUCUUAGGACAGUCAGACAAGGGUGAGGAAGACCACCUAACUGAUGGGGACAACUGUCUGACUCAUAUUAGAUAUUCACACUGGACACUUUUAAGGAUGGCAAAAUUUGGAGCCAACAUAAAAAUUAAGUGUAGUUAUAAAAUAAAGGUAAACUUCUUGCACAGCUGAAUUUAUGACAAUAGCAUAAGGCUAAGGAGACCAGGAGGGGAAGAUCUUACCAAAAAGGGAGUACUAUUGAUGGGAAUACCAAGUAGAGAGAAAAAGGUGAUGAGGCAGGAAGGUGAAGCAGCUUCAUCCAGCUUAGAAUUAUCUUUCUCAUGCCUACGGUCCUUUACAUUUGGGAGCAAAUACCACCUCCAAUUCUGAUCCUUCCACUUGCUAGCUGAAUAUCUCUGGUCUUUUUACCUCACUCUCCUCAUUUGUGGUAUCCUAACAGCUCCUAGUCUAAUUUGUUUUAUGUCAUGAUGAAGUGAGACAUAAAAGUUAUUUAUAAAAUGUAAGUUGCUAUAGAGAUGCUAGGAAUGAUAUUUUUAUUCUUACAUAAAUAAAGACUUCUAUCUAUGCAAAGGACCAUUUCGUACAUAGGGAAGAAAUACCUGAGUCAUAUUUGUGGACAAAUUCCCUAGGAAUACAUUUUCAGUUUCAGGAAUCUUACCUUAAUCUUCUGAUUGUUUAAUCAAGAUCCUUUCCACAAAUAUGUACAUGAGUGGGAGGAUCUAUGUAGGCUGUGCAGUAAAGUAUUUAGACCAUACUGGGAUUUAGAUCUUUCUGAAUAAGUUAACAAAAAAGAAAUAAUGUAUUUUUGCUUCAUGUGUCUGUCUCUGAAACUGGACUCUAUCAGUACUUAAGUUACACAGAUAUUAGUGCUGAUGACUUCAUUUUUCCAAAAAGGGAAACUAGAAGAAGCCACUUCUCAUUUAAGGCCAUUUUGGGUCCAUUUUGCACAUUUGUUGAAAGGCAGCGUUGUUUGUCAUUUCUACUUCUCUGGAACUCUCUGAGUUUUCCUGGGAAUCGAGGCAAGUUCUGUACACCCCUGACAGUGAAAGCAGAGAGGGCAGCCCAAGGGCAAUGAGACUUUCUGUGUUUCCUCCCCAUGUUUGCUCACUGCCACACACUCUGUUACCAAUGAGAGAAGCCAUUCUUCAUUGUCAGGCUGCUGGGAGGCGUGAGGCAGCGGCUGUGUUGGAGUGAGGAGGACAGUUUUCCUUGGGCUUGAGGUUUAUAGGUUGGAUACUAUGGCAACAUUCUGGGUAAAAGAUAUGAUCAGUAUGCAAAUCCUCAUCACUAUCAUUAUAGGACGCAUUUCAACACAUUAAAGGAGUAUUUUGUAAUUAUUCUGAACAUAUUGAUGUUUACUACAUUUUCUUAUCUCAAUUUUGAGUUAAGCAGACCAAUUUUAAUGUAAAAGCUGCUUGUGUUGAACAAUUUAGGGAUAGAUAAUGAACUCUUACUACAUUUAAGUCAUGUUAAAACAUUUUCCCUAUCUUUAUACCAUUUGGAAAUGGAAAAACUGAACAGUCUGUAAGCGUGAAAGACAAAUAGUUUGUGUUUUUGUGUUGCUGUAUAGUCUCUUCUCUCAUUACAAUGUGUUGUGUAUUUUAAUUUUUUGCCUAAAGAAUAUUUUAUAAGUAGUGUCUUACUAAUUACACAAAUUCAAGUAGACUUAACAAAGUACAGAUGAGAACUAGGACUGCCUGAACUAUAACUAGAAGAUGAGUUUCUGCUCAGUAAGAUCAACAGGAAUAUAAAUCUAAAGAACAGAAAUGUGAGAUUGUCUUUGCCCGAAGGUUCAACUCAGACUCCUUUCCAGUGAAACCCUGGCCUCAGUAGUUUUCUAUCUAUAGAGUGCAGGGUUGGAUAAAACCUCUAUGCCCUUCCAACUGUGGGAGUCAUGGUUUUCAAGGUUGUGUCUCUUUUGUACAUGUGUAUAAACCAUUCUCACAUUUAUGAAGAGAUUGUGUUUCAAACUGUGUAGUGCUCUCAUCCUCUUCUGAACCCAAAGCACCCUAUUCACCCCACUCAUUGGUCAAUUAAUCACAUGUCAUAGUAAACAUUUGUGUUCAUUUCACAUUUACUGUGACUUAAUUCUUAUAUUGUUAAACAUUUCCUGUUUGUGUAUAUCGCGUGUGUGUGUCCCCAUAUAAAUGCAAAAGCUGGCUAUGUCUCCCUCAUCUAUCUCUGAAUAUCUUAGCAAGGGUCUGGUAUAAGGUAGGUAAGGAUAUGUUGAUCUGAUUCGAUAUCAGACAGAGAAGAGGAAGCUCCAUGACAACUGCCUACCUGUAAGCAUGCCUUCAUUCACCACGCAGCUUCCAUCAAUCAAAACAGCAUCACACGGCAAUGAAAGUUUUCCUGGAAGAAUAAGAAUGUCUCCGGGAACCAAGAGACGGGAUUCCAGCUCCUCCAAACCUACAUCAAAGCAAAGUCUCCAUGAAUAGCUGACCUUUUCCUGUUUUUACUUAAGAAUGAAAGCAACUAAGAAUCCUUAUCGACCUGUUGGCCAAGAGCUACCCUACCUGUUCAACUGUUGAAGCCCCUUUUUAGUCCAUUGAAAAUUCCAAAAGAAUCAGGAUUAGGAAAUUGGUUCCUGGGACUCAGAAAAGGAUUCGCUAAGCAGUAAGAUCCCAUCUUGAUCCUAGUACCCGGUAUGCUUUGCCCACAGCAGAUACACAAGGACACUGGGCAAAGCAGAAGUGCAACUUCCUGCUGUUUGCUCUCAUCUGGGUUUCUGAUUCCUGUGGUACAUUUGGUCUUCUUGGAUUGAGGCCUUAUGUAAAUUGCCCAAAUAACUUCUGCUGUCCCAGGGUGCAGCUCCUCACUCCUUACAAAAAGCUACGGCCACGCCACCUCUGGCUAGCUCACAGCAGAUGCCAAGUGUCCAGACAGCUAUCUAAAAGCCCCAUUCAGGCCUAGGUUCCAGAUGGCAGUUCAAAUUGUGUGAUGCAGGGUCUGUUUGGGAUAGUUAGAUUGGGAAACAAAGGAACCUUAAGAAGGUUUACCCAGUGUUAUUCAAAUGAGUGACAUAUGAAGGGGAGAGGGAAAUUGAAGGAACCCAGACAUUGGGUAAGAAUGACUGAAUAAGGGCUUGGGUGAGGAUAAGGCAAGCAAGACGUCUAGUGUACAAAAUUUAAUGAGGCACUUGUUCUCAGGGCCCUGCAGCUGUGGGGUCAGCACUGGCAUGAUCUUGCCUCGUUAAAUUUUCUAUCUUAGAGGACUUCUUUGCCUCACCUCGUCCCAGUUCUGGGUUCAGUCAGAAAAGACUUUUUCUCUCUUGACUAAUAAUUAAGGACAAAUGAGACCAAUUCCCCCCUAACAUGUCACUUACCUUUGUCUUUUACAAUGAUUGUAACCUGGACUUUGUUGUGGUCCUCCACGAGGUUAUGCAGCUUAACUGAUUGCUACCAAGUAAAAGUUAACAUUUAAAUAUUAGAUAGUUCAUAUUCUGAAAACCACAUGUUCUCAACACAGUAAAUACCAGGCCAGAUGUCACAGCUAAAGUGACUCUGGGCAAAGGACUCAACUUCUUUUGAUGCUUCAGCUUCCCUGCUCCAACCCCUACCUCAUCUGACCUGCUACGUGCAGCAGCAAAUAUGCUCAUUAGUUUAAUGCUAUCUCACUCCCCAAAAAAAAUAAUGCACAGCCACUGCCUCAAGGACCUAAGCCAAGGAACCUGUUAAAAGAAACUUUACGCAAAUUAAACAGGAGUUUAAUUGAGGAAGAAAAAAAAAGUAAUUCAUAAAUCAGGCAGCCGCCAGAACCACAGCAGAUUCAGAGAGACUCCAGGGAUGCCUGAUGCUCAGAAUAAAUUUGUAGAACAAAGAAGGGGAAUGACUACAGAAAUCAGAAGUGAGGUACAGAAACAACUGGACUGGUUACAGGUUGGCGUUUGCCUCAUUUGAGCACUCAGCAGUAUAUGAAUGGUGGAAGUAUGGCUGCUGUAGGAGUCGCUGAAGAUUGGCCAAGACUCAGG